rnacentral:tRNA from 1 species
GGGGAUUUAGCUCAGCGGCAUAAGCACCUGCCUUGCAAGCAGGUGGCCGUGAGUUCAACCCCUG